UUUGGGCUUCUUUUGUUGGCUGAUACGUAUCCCCACUGAUUUCGCGGCGUACCCGUGAUAGCUACCUUCUCUCACUGCGCUCUCCCAAGGCCGUCGCUCUCUCUCUCUCUCUCUCUCUCUGUAAAUUCUUGGGAAAUAUUGUAAAUGGGAAUAUUUUUUUAACGAUUCAACACUGUAUAGAAUAGUUUGAAUAGCAAGCAAUUCAGAUCCUCUGUCUAUUUGCUGUUAAAUAUCGUCUGUUUUUUUCUCGAGCAACAACAAUCAGUCUCUCCUCUCCAACGUUAUGGAGGACUAGCCCCUGGCCCUGCAACCCUGCUCGGAUCCAUCUCCAUUCUUUCCCCAUAAGGUGUUAAAUUUUUCAGGAAGAAUUGUGGUAAGAAAUCAUGGCGUUAGGGAAAUAUACUAGAGUAGACAACAGAAGAUCCUCAUCAUCUUACUGCUCGACUGUGUCAAUUGUUGUUUUCGUGGCACUUUGCUUGGUUGGGGUUUGGAUGAUGACAUCAUCAUCUGUGGUUCCUGUUCAAAACGUGGAUGUGCCUCAAGAGAAUAAGAAUGAGGCAAAGGAACAAGUGAGCGAGAGCAAUGGUGGAGUUACUCGGCAGUUUGAGGAUAAUUCGGGUGAUUUGCCAGACGAUGCAACCAAAGGAGACAGUAAUUUAAACUCUGAGAACCACUCUAAAUCAGAAGAAACCCAAGAUGAGAAACCUGAUGAGAAGCCCGAGGAAAACCCUGAAGAGAAGCCCGUGGAAAAUCCUGAAGAGAAGCCCGUGGAAAAUCCUGAAGAAACGCCUGAGGAAAAUCCUGAAGAGAAGCCUGAGGAAAAGCUUGAAGAGAAGCCCGAGGAGAAGCCUGAAGAGAAGUUCGAGGAGAAUUCUGAAGAGAAGCUGGAGGAAAAGCCUGAUGAAGGGCCCAAUUCAGAUGGUGGGGAGGCUAAAACAGAUGGGGGUGAGAAUGGUUCUGAGGGACAAGGUGGUUCUGAAGGGAGUUCCAGUGAGAAAAAAUCAGAGAACCCAGAGGAAACAAAGGAUGGAGAAAAGGCUGUUGGUCAGAUAGAUGAGAAGGUGGAUCAAAGUGAGAAGAAGGAAACAGAUGAAAACUCUGGUGAGAAGAAGGAAAAUGGCCAGGCCCAAAACCAGAGUUCAAAUAACGUAUUUCCUUCUGGGGCUCAGUCAGAGCUCCUGAAUGAAACUACCACUCAAAGUGGGGCUUGGUCAACUCAAGCGACAGAGUCAAAGAAUGAGAAGGACAUUCAAAAAUCAUCUACGCAACAGACUGGUUAUAGUUGGAAACUUUGCAAUGUCACUGCUGGGCCUGAUUACAUCCCAUGCCUUGACAAUUGGGAAGCAAUAAAAAAUCUUAGAAGUACCAAGCAUUAUGAACAUCGAGAGAGGCAUUGUCCUGAAAAAGCCCCCACAUGCCUUGUUUCUCUCCCUGAAGGAUAUAGACGCCCAAUUGAGUGGCCUACAAGCAGGGAAAAGAUCUGGUACUAUAAUGUUCCUCACACCAAACUUGCACAAAUCAAGGGGCAUCAGAAUUGGGUGAAAGUCUCUGGUGAAUAUCUUACGUUUCCUGGUGGUGGCACCCAAUUUAAGCAUGGUGCUCUUCAUUACAUUGACUUCAUACAGGACUCUGUGCCUGAUGUUGCCUGGGGGAAACGCUCCCGUGUGAUAUUGGAUGUUGGAUGUGGAGUUGCUAGCUUUGGAGGCUAUCUCUUUGAUAGAGAUGUACUCACUAUGUCAUUUGCUCCGAAGGAUGAGCAUGAAGCCCAAGUGCAAUUUGCACUUGAAAGGGGAAUUCCUGCAUUAUCCGCUGUGAUGGGCACAAAGAGACUUCCAUUUCCCGGCCGUGUUUUUGAUAUUGUCCAUUGUGCACGAUGUAGAGUUCCAUGGCACAUAGAAGGUGGUAAACUUCUUUUGGAGCUGAAUCGUGUGUUGCGUCCUGGUGGUUUCUUUGUCUGGUCUGCUACUCCAAUUUAUCGGAAGACUUCUGAAGAUGUUGAAAUAUGGAGUGCAAUGAAGGAUCUAACAAAAGCAAUGUGCUGGGAACUAGUUUCGAUCAACAAGGAUACGGUAAAUGAAGUAGGUGCAGCUACAUUUAAGAAGCCUAUUUCUAAUGAGUGCUAUGAGAAAAGAUCACAAAGUGAGCCUCCUAUCUGCCCAGAGUCUGACGAUCCAAACGCAGCCUGGAACGUACCGUUGCAAGCAUGCAUGCACAAAGUACCUGUAGACACAUCUGAGCGUGGGUCUCAAUGGCCAGAGCAAUGGCCCGCUAGGUUGGAAAAAACCACCGUACUGGUUGUUGAGCUCCCAGGUCGGAGUUUAUGGUAAAGCUGCUCCUGAUGAUUUCACUGCAGACUAUGAGCACUGGAAACGAGUAGUGACCAAGUCAUAUCUUACUGGGAUGGGAGUUGACUGGUCAAAUAUUAGGAAUGCCAUGGACAUGAGAUCUGUGUAUGGAGGAUUUGCUGCAGCCUUGAAAGAUUUGAAGAUUUGGGUCAUGAAUGUGGUCGCCAUAGACUCCCCAGAUACACUACCCAUAAUUUAUGAACGAGGUCUAUUCGGAAUAUAUCAUGACUGGUGUGAAUCCUUUAGCACGUAUCCUAGGUCCUAUGAUCUUCUCCAUGCAGACCAUCUGUUCUCCAAGGUUAAAAAGAGGUGCAAUUUAGCCGGUGUAGUUGUGGAGGUUGAUCGGAUCCUCAGGCCAGAGGGGAAGCUUAUUGUCCGUGACAAUGUUGAGACCAUUAAUGAGCUGGAGAAUAUGCUGAAGUCUAUGCAGUGGGAGGUCCGCUUAACCUACUCGAGGGACAACGAGGGAUUGUUGUGUGUUCAGAAGUCCAUGUGGCGACCUAACGAAUUGGAGACACUCCAGUAUGCAAUUGCAUAAGCAUGAUCCGAUCACAUCCUGAAUCGCUAUUGAUCUUGAGACGGCAACUCCGAUGAGAUUCGAUAUUCUUUUUGUUCUGCUUGCUAAUUGAUAUUCAUUGUAAGUUGUAACUGUGCUUGUACCUUAGCCAAUGUAUCAUGUUAGAUAGGUCUCUCACUCUGAGUCUGUUAUUUUUCAUCAUUUGUUUCCUUGUUUUGAUGAUCUCUAUAUAUAUAUAGUAAGAGGUGGCUGUCGGGAUUUCCACUCAUGUAACAUCAUAUUACUAUACUAGUUAUUGAUGGAGAAAUGAACAUUCUUGCAA